CGCAGGCACCGCUGCCAACCGUCAACUGUCCGUUAAGCAAUAAAAAAAAGAGGAGAAGCUGAAAAUAACAACACGGAAGAUACACCAUUAGCCGGAAUAACCGAAUCCGCAGCAAGAGAGGAAGUCGACACCGCUGUUCUUUUUCUCCACGCCCCUACCCCUCUUCCCCUCAGGGCCGCUGACGUCACUGCCUCCCUCGCAACUCUCCAAGCGCAUCGUCGAGACGCACGAGGGAACAGUCGUGGGGACAGAGAAAAAACAAGCGAACGAGCGAAAGAAGGCGAAGCGAAGCGAAAAAAGAAACGCAAGAGAUAUUAACAGAAACAAAAACAGACAGACACACGUAUCACAGCGUCGCUGCGACACACGUGCAGCACAGUCGCCAACGUGGCCCUCUUUCGCACCCCCGUGGGACGCUGUGGCUAGCUGGAGUGUGCUUGUGUGUGUGUGUGUGAAGCUAUCCAGAGAGGCGCGCGAUUCUGUUUUACGCACCCGAACAGAGCCCCUGAACAAAAAAACAGACAGAAAGAACAGAGGCACGCUAACGUGUACGUAUUCAGAAGGCCAGCAUCCUAGCCCCCUCCACUUCCGCUUCACCCAUUUUUCCUUGAGUCGAUCCGCACUUGCUUCUUUCUUUGCUUUUAGCUGUUGGGCGCGUGUCUUUGUACGCACCUUCUGCGCAUCUCUCUCUGCUUUUUUUUAUUCACAUUUUCUCGAUUUCCUUUUUUGUUGGCCCUGAAUCUCUCAGUCACAAAACGUGAUUGACCCCCCGACCUACCCCUUCCCCCUCCUCUUCCUUCGUGCGCACACAGUCACACGCACCUACACACGCAGAGCUCGCAAAAAGGAAAGAGAACAGCGUCGGGACGCGGUAGUGGUGACUGUAGAAGUAUAAUCAUCGGCAGCAUUAAGCGCAGCGCGUACUUGACAAGCCACCCGGCGAUUUGCAAGUCGCGCACGCGCUCUAUCGGACUGCACUUUCUUGCGCGCUUUCACUAUCACCCUUGCUCGCGUUGUUUACGGUGAAAAAGAGUGGUGAGACGCAUUCUUUUCCUUUCUUCUCGCACACGGCAGGGUUGUCAAGCAAAACACCCGCACACUCCACCGAAGGCACAAACGCGCACACCUGCAUUUGCCAUUGCCGGUGCUUCGCGUUGUGCUGUGCCUGCUGCAGCGGACGUGAUUUGUACGUCUUGUAUACGAGAUCAUUUGGAAUCUUGUCUACCUCUUACUCGCACUGCCCGACUCUGCGUGCCCGACUCUCAUCCACCUACUGCUGCUGGAGUGCCUUCGUGCGACGACACACGUACAACUGCCGCCCUCCCUCUGUGCUCUCUAUCUCGCCCACAGCUGCAUCUGGCCGCCUAAUUCUGUUCGCCCUUUUCUUUUUUUUUUCGUUUUGGUCUUUCUGCUACACCCCUCCCCUCCCUCCUUUUUUCAUUCUUCUCUCUUGACUCUUUCUCCCCCUCUCCCCUCGCAUUUUCCAUCUCUUCUUCUUGCGCUGCUCGCUCUCGCUUUUUUUUUCUCGGUCGAGUUAUACCUGACCAGCACCCCCGUCUCUCUCUAACUCGCCAACUUGUCUUUGUCUUGGCCUGCACCAGACUGGUUUCGGACGCCGGCAGAACGCACGAAGGAGGCAGCAGAGGAAGUGCAGACGCAGUUUCGAGUAGCGAGUAGGGGACUGAGUGACGACAUCUGGGCAGAGACAAAGACACCGCCGCUCCGGCAAGAGGGUCAGCAGACGAAAAGAACAAGCGACGGGUAGGCAAAACCGAAGAAGAUACCAGAGUGCAACAGGUAAACACGCCUUCUCAGUUCUCGUUGGAAGCAGGAAGUACGGGCACAAAACUCAGGGUACGUAAGCACGAUCAUACACGCACAAACGCCGACAGAUAGAAGGUAACUUGUGCGGAAGUGUGCGUAGUGUGCGUUUUCUCCUCUUAAAAACUCAGUUCGCUCUGCUGCGAGGACGCAGACACCCUCGGUCUGCCUCCAUCGUUCGCCUGCACUCGCUCUUGACGUGUGUUUUGUGAGUGCGGGCGGCUUUGUGUCGUUGUGUGCAUGUGCGCGCGCGCGUGUGCGGUUCACCUUUCUCGCAACGUCAUUUUUUUUUUUGCUUCUUGCGCCCCCUUCGUCAUUCGCUGAUUCCAGACCUCCGCGCUGGGGGAAUCGAUACGUUACACCUUUCUUCUGUGCACUGUGCAUUGCUGGCCAUACGCACAGCGGCAGGACGGGAGAAAAAACCGAAUUAAGCAAACGUGGACACGUCCUCUGGCAGACUUUGCAGGAUUUCGAUAAGCGAUACAUACACACGCCACAUCUCCAGCCACUCAGGGAAAGUGACGGAAAUACGUCGACUACAACGAAGCAGCGUGGAAGUUGAAAAAAAAAAGAUAAUCCUGCGAGAGAGGGAGAGGGGAGAGCGUCACCGUUCUCGAGCUUACACAACCAGAGAGCCCUCCGUUUUUCAAGAGGAUACAGAGCCUCUCUUGCCAUUAUCACCAACACUACCAGAGAAGACUUCUAUCUUUCACAGAGGCGUUUUUUGUUGUGAUUUAACAUUUAUUUUUUCAUUGAUCUGCCAUUUCUGUUUUCACGUCUGCGCGCGUGCGUUCUCUCUCUCUCUCUCUCUGCACUUCUUUGUGUGCUUACUCCACACAGACUGACGCGCACCACGCAAGCCCAUACGCACACACCGUAAACCUGCCAGAACCGAAGUGAAGUGGAUUUCUCACAGAGAACGCACUUGGAACCUAUCCUCUUUCUUUACUUGUGUAUCCUUAGAAGGACAGACGCGCUCAGCAAAACCACUUCACUAACUACACGACCCCUCUCCCCUUCUCAGCGUUAUAUCUCUAUAGAUAUUCUGCACCACCCCUUUCCCUGCCUCAUCUUCAUCCCAACGUCGCGCUUGUCGAUCUUUUCAGGCGAUACGAUAGGAGCCGUCUAAUACCCCUUCCCCUUCCUUCCCCUCAAGUGCGCCUUCUUUUUAUUUCUGUAUUUGUGUCUGUGCGCACCUCAUCCUACCGCUAACGGAAACAAAAGAAGCCCAUAAAUCGAAUCACCCUCACCGAAACUUGUGCCUGCAUCACCUCGACCGAUCUCUCUCCUCGAGGUACACAGGCCUUUGUCGUGGCACACCUAAACACAUCCGGCGACGCCUUCAUUCACCACCUCCCUCAGCUCCGACGUCUGCUCCCUCCUCCCCUGGGUGUCGCGCCGUUAUUAUAUAUAUUUUCCUUUAUAUUUCUUCCUUCUCCGUCUUUGUGCGCCGCGCGCCAGCGCUGCCACACCAUUUGCGUGUUUGCGGUCGCCUCUGCGUGCGCACUGGGUUUCUCACGCGUCGAGCAGCGCUCCGUUUGCACGCUCUGACGCACAUCGUCGCAGCUCGAGCGAAGACACGGUUAUCCAACGCAAAGAGCAGCGCGAGCAGGUCUUACGUCUCCCUUUCCCUCUGAAGCGUUGCAUUCUUGAAAAAGUAAAACAGGGUCCCCCCUCCAUUGCGUACCCCCUCUUUUAUGAUUAUUAUUAUUAAUCGUUGCGCAUCAGCUUGCCGAGCGCGUGCUGGAUUUUCUUCUUGGGUGCGAACAGUCGAAAGAAGCCAAAAAGAAGUUGGCGCUUACCUUUUCGCACGCAUUUGGGUGCGUCUGUCUGCUUGUCGGUCGGCCGGUCUGCGCGUGUGUGUGCCUCUGUUCCGCACCUGGUAAAAAAAGAAAAAAAUACGUCAUCUCUGUCUCCGCACUUUUUUUCCGUUGUGCGUCUCUUCCUGUUUUUCUUUUCUCACUUUUCCUUUCGGCUUGGAGAACUGAAAAAGGGGAGGAGGGAAGAGGUUGCUGAUUUCAUAGGCAAGCACACUCGGCCACUAUCACUGCCGCCGCUUUAAUCUUUUUUUUUUGUUGUUCUGCCUUCCUGCUUUCCAGUGUCCGUGAAGGGAAGACAGGCCCGUUCAGCGCUCGGCUGUUGCCAUCUCGAUCGCUUUUGAAUUUUCGCUUGUGCUCUCUCUGUUGCCGAGCGUCACAGCUCUCUCUCUUUCUGCGCGCGCGUCUGCGGACGGAGGUGCGUGCUUGCGUGCCGGUGCGGGUUCCUCAUCUAAAGCAAAUCGGGUGCCCCUGUUACUUCCGUGUGCUUUCCCGCCGUGUGUGCGUGCACGCGCUGGCGACUGCCUUCGCUUGAACGUGACGAAGAGGCCUUCCCAUCCAGCGUACUUUCUCUGUCUCACUUGCUGUCGCGUGAAAGUGUGUACAUCUGUGUCUCCGUGUAUGCGCAUCGGUGCCCUCUACCCCCCUUUUCCCCUAUAGCUUCUACGCUUUCACAGCAGCGCGUAAGCGACAAGGAAACAAAAAAGAAAGCGGCCACGCCUUCGUGCCUGUGCUCAUCAGCGGCCUCUUUUCGCUUGUCCACAACCGCCUGUGUCCCCUUCGUUUUUCGUUUUCGUGCUCUUCCCUAGUGUCCCAAUACGCUUGUAUUGGUUGUGUAUAUUGUUUUGUGCAUUAUUCGUUUUUUUUUCCUUCUUUGCCCCCUUCCCCUCCCCGUUCCUCUCUUAGAUCUUCACACACGCAAACUCCGCUGUCACCGUCGCCUCUCGCUCUGCAUUCCCUUUUUCUUUUUGUGACCGCUUCUCCGUUUUCUUUUCUAUUUCUAGCGUUCGUUACUUCGAACAGGCGCGCCCGGGGCUCCGUGUGCUUCUCGACCCUUUUCCUUGUUGACGGCGGAAAUCGCUGCCUUUCUCCCUCUCUCUUGUCCGCCUUUGCAAGGGUGUUUAUUCUCGCUUAACAGAUCGCGGUGUGUCUGACCAUUUCGUAGGAGCGGGCUUGCGCGCAGCACAGAACGCGCUUUUCCUCCCUCUCUCUUUUUGCCACCCACAUCUGAGCGUCAUUUCUCGCUACGCGGCCGCACACGGAGCCCACUUGCGAACGCCGCAAGGCCUUGCACUGAUGUCCGCUGGCGCAUCCAGCCCGGGCACCUACGCCUACCCCUUUGUUCACAUGGGCAAUGACGCAGCAGGAAGCCAAGCAAGGAUCAUGAGUGGUAGCGCCGGCGCCGCUGACGCCAUGUCCGCGGCAGAAAACGGCGUUGCUAUAUCUGGUGUACAGCAGGGCUACUGCCAUAACUUCCGGCCUUUUGUGGUGAGUUACGGGCAGCCGUACAACGGCGGUGCUGGUGGCAUGAUCCAGAGCGGCGCUACCGCCUGCGGCAGCAGUUACCCUUCGUCUUUCAACUCUUUCGAGCUGCCAACAAUCACGCCGCCGCUGCUACCUCAGCCCGACUUCUACGUCGCCGCAGCCGCGGCCCAAGCGAACGACUUCUACUACCACUCUUCUCAGCCUCGCUACGCCGAUUCGCCGCUGACCUCGGCAGAGCUGUGCGGUGCCGGCACCCGCAGUGCCAGCCCCGUGAUGGGGUACGGGGCGACACCUUCCAUCGCCGGCAUAAACGGGUAUGGGUACACGGACCAAGCUGCCGGCUCCGUCUUCAGCAGCUGCAGCUUCAGCGGUUCCCGCUUUCCUCAAUGGUAUCUACCUCGCGGGUAUUACUCCAUUUCUUGCUCCAACGUCGUUGGCGGUAGCUGCGGCAGUGGCUAUGGGUUGUACGCUGACUGCGCGAGCAGCGGCAUUACGCCCACCUCAGUCUCGAUGGGGCAGAACUCUGCGGAGGAGGAGAUGCUCAGCAGCUCACAUGGGCGGUCGCAUUACGUCAUGAUGCCGCCGCCUCCGCCACGACUCUCGCCCCAGUCGAGCUCUGGCACGCUGGUCCCGUUUGCGCUGCCUCCGUCGUAUGCGGCCACAGCCGCCGGAAAUGAUGCGCAUGCGAUCGGCGUGCCGCCCACAUAUCCGUCUGGCGUGAUGGAGUUGUCGUCGUCGGCCUCCUUGUCAACCAGCUCGCCCGUGUCUAGGGCGGCGCGAGCCCCGCAGUUCCUGUCGUACGACGGCCGCGCCUACGACAUUCCACCAUGCAAGGCACAUAUCAGCAGCGCCGACGCCGCGGCUGCUGUGACGCAGUGCUCACUCGUGGCUUGCGCCCAGCAUGGAGGCUACAGCCCGGUGGACGCCUCCCAGCCCAUUCGCAUGUCGACUCAGAAGUCGGGCACGCCGCAUGACAUGCAUGCAUAUCCUCGCGCGACGUCUCCACUUACUCAGCGCCCCUUGCCGCACAGCCAUCGGAGGAGCACCGGCGCUGCGUCAGAGCCGGCAGAGAGGUCCUGCUCGCCAGAGGAGAGCGCGCUGCUGGCCGACGUGCACGCGCGGCUGAUGCAGCAGCACCGCUCCUCUCAGCUGCUCAAGGAGCGCUCCGCGGCGCAGAGGGCCGGUGUUAAGCCGCUGUCGCGCUCCGACCUCGCCGCUCCUGCAAAAGGUCCAGCCUCGGGGAAAAAAGUCGUCGCCAACGGCUCUAGCCACGAAGCUGCUUCUACCAGUAGUAUGGCCGCCGAGGAGGCGGCUGUGGCGGCGCUGUCACCCAUUCCACGGCUUCCCGCCGCAGGCGCUGUCGACGCCGAGGCAUCUGACCAGUCGCUGUGGGGAGGCGACGAGGCGGCCGCGCAGGCCCCUACUCAGGAUGCUCUGGAUCGGUUGUUGACGGUGCCGGGUGUCGUAUGGCGGCAUGAUCCGUAUAGCCGCAUCGUUCUGCCGCAGACCCAGGCCACCGUCGAGAGCGACGGCAGCGAGGCGACCAGCACAUCGUGCUCCUCGCUGCCCGCCGGCAGCCCCUACGUCGCACGCGCCACCCUCGGUUUCUCUGACCGCGGCGACGCCAGGGCCAACGUCACGCAGCCGCCUCGCUCGCCAGACAUCGCAGCGGGUGCGAACGGCAGCAGCAGCAACAGCGCCGACGGGGUGCGACCCAGCCCCCGUCGCCUGCCGACAAAGAAGGUAUGUGUGCGUCAUUACGUGAACGGUGACGGCGACUUGUCGCUCAGCCACGAGCACAGCGGAGUUGUCGGCGCACUUCUGAGUGUGAGGGAGGCAGCGCCCACCGCGACCGUCCCCGUUGCUCUCUUUGCGAGUGGUGCCUCCGCACCGCUCCGUCACUCGGCCUUUAUGGACGAUGAUGACGACGGUGCCGCCCCAGCGGCCCCGCCGGAGACAGAACCGAUAACUGUGCUCACGGUCACGGCCUCGGCGCCUGCGGAGCGUGGCAAGCCGUCGGUGCCGAAGCCGCGCUCGAAGCAGGUGGGCCUUCCUGCGUCGGCCAGAGGCGCAAAGGCGGGCGCCACCAAAGAAGACCCUGUCGUGUCCACCGAUUCUUCGUCCUGCGUCUCGUGUGCGUCUGGGCACCUUAAAGCGUCGCACGUGGCGUCGCCAUCGACACUCGAUGCCGUAGUCCUGGCUGAAGCACCUGGUAAGGAGGACCUCUCGCCGGCCUCAGGCGUAGUCGGCGCCUCCGCUGAUCCGGCUGCUGCGGCAGGGGUGUGGCCUGCGGUACGUCGUCCAGGCCCGUACUCUUCGCCCUUGGGCUUCAGCGCGGCCCGCUCCGCGUACCAGUCGGCGUCGAGGUGGGGGUGGCGGCCGCGCAGCGCGCGCGUGUACGCCCUGGCGCAGCCGGCGGAGAUGGCCUCGACGAAAGAGGAACUGCUUGCUGCCGACCUGGCCGACCUUGACACAAGCUACCUUCUUGGCCUGUGGCAGAAGCUGGACUCUAGCGGCUGCUUCCGUGAUGCACUGGAGCUCCGGCGGUGCGUGAUCGGGCCUGGUAGCAACAGCUCCACCCGCGUACUGCGCCGCAUGCUACCCCUCUCCCGCCGCCUGAUGAACCGCCGGCGCGGUCUGGAGGUUGAGAGCGGCGACGGGCCGCGCUUUACCGUGUUGGACGAGUCGGAGAUGAAGUACGUGUGCUUGCUGCAGCACCGCUUCCGCAAGAGUACCGCCGUCGCGUCAGAGCACUACGCCCCUGGUACGAUGGUGGUCGUGGAUGGAGACAUGGGUGUCGACACCGGCAUCGUCACGCUCUCCAUGACGCGCGACGAGUACGAGGCCAUGACAGAUGUGCAGCGACGUGCCGCUCACCUCGUCGUACACCUGGAAUUUUCGCUCGCCGCCUCCAUCCACCGCGCCGCUCUGGCCGACGAGAUCCUGAUGCAUGGUAACACGCAGCUUCCCCUCGAGGAGGCGACACUGGAGUUCCUUCGGUACCUGACUACGCAGCCGCACCUGUUUCAGAGCUGCCGUGUGGAGUGGAUGCACUUUGUGGAUGUGGAGUUCCAGGCGGACGGGCAGAAGCUCUAUGUGCACUACACUUCCGAUACCCCGGUGCGUUUUCUCGAGCUGGCCACGUUCCUCAACCACAUCUUUCACUGUCGUAUCUGGAUGAAGGUUGUCAAGGAGGAGGACUGGUAAGUGCAUGGUUGUGUCUGUGGCAUGUAUGUCUCUCUCGCGCUUCCCUACCCCACGGAACUCCUUCCUUCCUUCCUUCCUCCUCUCGAUGUUUCUGUGGUUUAACCACGUGUCAGCUGCCCCUCUUUUUUUCUUAUUGGAGGGGGGAGCUGUAGUUUUUGACUUUCACCCCUACCCCACCCUGUUGCGACGUGCGAUUCAAGCGUGCACUCCCACGCAAACGCCGUCACGGUCGGUGCGCGUGGUCGACAUAGGUUUUCUGUUUUUUCUUUUCUGUGGUGGUUUUCAACUUGUUUUUGUCGUUACUGCUGUCGUUGAUUUCGUAACUCUGUUCGUUACCAUUAUUCUCCGUUUUUUCAAGCAAUCUUUUCUUUUUUUUUUUCGUCCUGGCGGGUGCCAGUUUCCGGACUCGCCAGCCCCGUCCCCAUUUUCCACAACAUGCCCUCGCCAUGCUGCCCGAGUGCCAGAAGCUGCACAACGUUCGCCUCCUCCCACGCGAGGCGCACUCGAUACAUCGGCGUGCUUGUGCUUUUCUUUCUUGGAGUGCCGUUGUGCGUGCGUCUGCUUGUGUGCACGUGCGCAUUACUUCCUUCCCUUUGGGUGGCCCGAUGCCUUUCCCGUUGUGUGCUGCGUUGCUAUUAUUACGGUUACCCGCCCGCCCCUUCCGACCCCCUUUCUCCAGUCCGUUUGCAGUGCUCCUCUCUUUCCUUAUUUGUUUUUCUCUUCGAGUUGCUUCAACCUCUGCCACUUCUCGUCCUGUCCAUGCACGUGCACAUGCGUCGGUGUCUCCCACCUCUCUCUCUGCGUGCGGGAUGUGCUCUUGGUGAGCAACAUCGCCAGCGUCAUCGACGUCGCUUUUCCUUUUCGCCCUCUUCUCUUUGUGUGUGUGCAUGCACAUAUCCACACACACACACGCAUGCGCUAUUUUUUUUUUCUUUUUCUUUGGGAGGCUCAAGGCGUAGAGGGAAGGAAACCGUGCUAAGGCGAAGCAAGAGAAGCAACAAGGCUUCACAAACUCUUUAUGGAUUCGACUCUCCCGCUCUUCUCUCUCGCUUUUUAGUUGAGCGCUGAGACAUGGUAUGUGCCUGCGCGUGUGCCCGUCUUUUUGGAUGCUUUCUUUCUGCGUCCCCCUUUCUUAUACAUGUAUAUAUGUGCUCUUGAUUGUUCAUGGAAGGUUGUGGAGAGGGCUGUAUCGCGCAGGAGAGAGAUACAAAAUUGUUUGCUACUUACAGGCUUCUUUGAGCUUGUGUUGGUUGCUGUACUGCGGAGCCGCACCCAUCGAGGAAGCAGCCCGUACUAAAUUGCGUACUGUGUGACUCUCACUCCUUCGAAGCCCACUUCUCUGCCCUGUGCCAGCAGAAUGGGGGCAUGCAACCUAUCAAACACUUUUCUCCCGUACUUGUGAUGCGGAAUGAUACAUCUACGCACAGACACAUACGCGUUCUCAACUGCAAGCGUUUCUUGCGUGUGUGCGUAGGCGAAUACGUCUAUGCCAGCGCGUGUCUACGUCAGGCACGCGCUUGGCGGCGUCGGAGGGAACAACACAUUCACUCUGGAAGGAAAACAAAAAAGUGGAGGAAGCCAUUACAAUCCCCCUCUCCCCACAUAAAGAAAAGGUAUCGCAGUGGAUGCUGCUGACAUCAUACUCUCGUGGCAGGUGAGCGACGGAGUGUGCUUGUGUGGCUUUCACGGCUCCGCAGGUAGUUUGGCUUGCUUCCUCCUCCUCUUAUAUAGUCAACGACGAUUUGCUUUACACCGUGCACGUGCGCCUACGGGUACGCAUAUGCUUGAUGUCGGUUAGCGGCUACUUUCUCUGUUUUUUUUUUUUUUUUCACCGUGAUACGUCUGUUGUUGAAUGAAGUCAUGCUUUGGUGGCGUCAUGCGGUCCUCUGACCACGGCUUGCGAGAGCAUUCACACAAAUGGACACACGAGCUAGUCGACUUGCCGCGUGCUCUGGUAUGCGUGCUUGUAUUCGCUCCUCCCGCGGGCGCCAUCGUCGCCGUCCCCCUCUCUCUUUCUUUCUUUGUAUGUCUCCAUCUCCUUUCGACCAGCACAGACACACGGCAAACUACCUACAGAAGGGGGCUCUAAUACGAGCACCGUCCAGAAAGCGUAGCACGAAAAGACGAGGAUGUAGCUCUCUCUCCCUCCCUCUCGAUCUCUUCGUAUGCGAGUGCUUCUUAAACCCCUCACCCUUUCCUGAUGUAACUCAUAUCGACCUGUUAGUGUGCAUGCGUGUGCGCUUGUGUGUCCUCUUUCCUCCCUUUCUCUGCCUGUCUUCUUCCUUUCGGGCUUGUCAAGCUGUUUGCUGCGUUUUGCUCUGCCUGUGUCUCAUGCAGGCGCUGCGCACAAGGACAGCGGUAGCGUUCAAGCGUGCCUCUUUUCGACGCCUGCGUGCUUGUGUGUGUGUGUGUGUGCAUGAUUUCCUUUGGAGAGCCGACACAAAUUACUGCUGGAGGGAGGCCUCUGCAGACUUCUAGUGAGUCUACACACUUUAUGUGUUCUCCACUUCCCCGAUGGCCAUCAGCUCUACCUCUUCUUCCUCUCUUUGUUUUCUUCGCGCACGCACCUUCCACCAGUGGGCGCCCCUAUCCCACUCCCCCUCGUAUUUUUCCUGUCUUUUUUUUUUUCAGUAUUAUGUGCUUCCUUUCUUUGCGCUAGUGCUGGAAAACACGCCAUCUUGAUUUAUUCCUGCAAACCUGCCGCCACCCGCCUCUCUCCUCACGCAGACAAAUAUUCGCAGACACACUCACGCACGCAAGCACGUAGCCGGAAGUACGACUGCUCACCGACGAAGAUAGAGUACAUAUGAGUCGAGAGAAUUCAAAGUGUGGGGCGGAGGCAACAGUGAGUCGCUCCUGCAUCCCUGGUGGCGCUGGUGCUUGCGAGGCGUGUCUUGUGGUGCGUGUGUGUGUGUGUGCACGUUGAUGCGAGUGCUGUGGCGCAAGCUCGAGCUGUUCUUUCUUUUUCCGUGGCUGCAUGCAACAGAUAGGCUUGGCGCUUUUCUUUCUGUCCUCUUUCAGAUGCCCUUCACUCUCCAUUCUCUUGGCGAGUGCGCACGCGCGCGUUCGCGGCUCGCCUUCUUUUUCUUGUUGCACCUAUGCUGACUCUUGCCUCUUGUAUUGAUCCUAUUCCCAGAGGGCGCUGCCGCACAUCGUUCCCUCCUCCUCUUUGCUCCCCCGUGUCCGUGUCUAUCCAGCACCGUCCCUUUUCAUUGCUUUCCGGUCCAGCCCUUUUCGUGCGGCAUCUAGCGCUUUUCCCCUCCGUCUCUUUGCCGUACCUGUCGCCCUCGUUAUGGGCCUGCGCGUGCGCCAUGGAUGGCGAACAGGGAGGGGGAGGGGGAGGGCACGAGAAUCAAGGGAAGGACGAAAGAAGCAGAAAACAGUAAAGGACACCAUACGUGGACUCUACGACAGACUGCAUUGCGCGUGCCAUACGAAGUAAGAGAGUCGAGCAAACACAAACGUGAAGAAAACGGUAACGAGAUAAAAAGAAAACAGUUAUGUGCCAUUAUGCAUAGCAUCUAUCUAUCUAUGCGUACUCAGACAAAGGCAAACAGCCAACAACAGCAACAAAAAAGGAAAAGAAGAACACCGAUCAUGAAUGCGACAGAGCGAACCGUCUCAUGUGGAGGUGACGUCUCUCCCUCAUGCUCUCUUCCCCCUUUUCUCCUCUCUCUCUCUUAGCGAGAAGCCUCUGGGGAGGGGGUGGUGCUGCCAGAGGGUGUUGUCUGUGUCUUUGUGCGAGUGCUUUACAGUCGCAAAACAUGUGAGCGUCAGCCAUGUCUCGCGUUGGUGGCUGCUUAGGCACACACACACACACACACACACACGCACACAGCUACAGGUCAACGAUUCGCCCGCAAAGGACGGUACGAAUGGUGCCCCGAUCGCUGCCUUCCUCUCGCUACCGCGCAGGUCAGGCAAAGCAAACGAAAGGGAAGGCAAACACGAGCGUCAUCGUCUCUCGGCGCUACGCACGUGCGUCUCCCUUACACUUCCGCGCUCACUCUCCCUCUCCGUCUGGGAAAUCCGCAUUGCCUCGUCUCCGCCUAUUGCUUUCUGCGUUCCACCACCAUCAUCGCACCCGACAUCAAACCUACACGUGCGCUCACAUCACCAUAAUCACACGCGUAACCACGACUCGCGAGGGAACGAGCUGCCCAACACCACCAUGAAG
rnacentral:misc_RNA from 1 species